rnacentral:rRNA from 1 species
AUUGAACGCUGGCGGCAGGCCUAACACAUGCAAGUCGAGCGGCAGCGGGAAAGUAGCUUGCUACUUUUGCCGGCGAGCGGCGGACGGGUGAGUAAUGCCUGGGAAAUUGCCCAGUCGAGGGGGAUAACAGUUGGAAACGACUGCUAAUACCGCAUACGCCCUACGGGGGAAAGCAGGGGACCUUCGGGCCUUGCGCGAUUGGAUAUGCCCAGGUGGGAUUAGCUAGUUGGUGAGGUAAUGGCUCACCAAGGCGACGAUCCCUAGCUGGUCUGAGAAGAUGAUCAGCCACACUGGAACUGAGACACGGUCCAGACUCCUACGGGAGGCAGCAGUGGGGAAUAUUGCACAAUGGGGGAAACCCUGAUUCAGCCAUGCCGCGUGUGUGAAGAAGGCCUUCGGGUUGUAAAGCACUUUCAGCGAGGAGGAAAGGUUGAUGCCUAAUACGUAUCAACUGUGACGUUACUCGCAGAAGAAGCACCGGCUAACUCCGUGCCAGCCGCCGCGGUAAGAC